AUCCUGAUGUGUUCGUCUGUUACAAGUAUUUUGACCGAACAACUAUAAAAAUGGGAACCUGAUUUUGUUUUUAUAGUGCGUACCUGCCUCAUGCUUGAGGAAGUACAAUAUCUAUAAAACAGGGUACCCACUUGCUUAAAGCGGGAUCAAAACUUUACGUCGACGGCACAAUCGGGAU
rnacentral:other from 1 species